CUUCACUGGGAACAUAGGGGGUUGUUGCCUUUUAUUUCAAGUCUUCUGUCUGGGCUUCCAUGGUAGGUGGUAACUCAAGCUGUGAGGGUGGCUGAGACUAGACAGAGUCUUUGGGGGAUAGAGAUGAGAAGAUGCCCUAGGAUGGAGGCUUAAAGGCCAAAUAGAAUUGGGGGUAAGUGAGCAAAGGGGGCUGCAGAGUAAAUUGAUAUCAUAGAAGCCAAGGGAAUAUGAUGUCAUAGAGAAAAAAGAUGAUGUCACAGAAGCCAAGAGAUGAAUGUUCUAGAGAAGUUUCUAGAACUUCUAGAAUUUUUUAGAAGUCUCUAGAGAAGGACAAAGUGAUCACCAGGACCAGACGUUGCCAUGGGGCAAACUGGAUAAGGACUGAAAAGUGCUGAUUCAAUUAACAAGAUGUCUUUGGCACCUAUGGCAGGAGCAUCAUAUGUAAAGAAUGGCGUGCAGAAACCAGGUCCCAGUGAAGUGCGGGUGCGGGCAGAGACAAUGAUGAUCAAGUAAAUGGAGAUAACAAGUGUGGACAACUGGUUGGAAAAUGGUGACUGGGAGAAGAGUAGAAAAUGAAACGGUGUCAUUGCCAAAAGAAGGGAGCAGUCAAGAAUUAAUUUUUACAGUGACAGAGACUUGAGAAUAUUUAAAAAAUGAUGAACUGAAUCCAGUAAAGGGGAAGGUCAAGGUCCCCAUAGAACCAGAGGAAUGGGACGCAGAGGGCGGAUGGAGGCUUGGACUUCAACAGGAAAAGGACAGACUGCAGGCUCUCUGAGGGCUGGAACAGUAUCCACCCGGUUUGCCAGUAUAUCCCAGGCCCUACAGCAUGUCUACUGUAUAUAUCCAUGGUAAAAGGGUAAUAAAUAUUUGCUGAGAUGACUGGAAUGACCUGCUGUCCAGCCAAUAUCCCCAUAAUCUCUCCACCCCUCCUGCUUAGCCCAGACCAGUCCAACUGUACUUCCCAUGGCUACGCCCCGUGCUGGGCUCUGCUCCAGUGAACCCGGCUGCCAGGCAGAGUGAGGUCACUACAAAUCCAUGUUCUCUAGCCCCACCUGACAGCCCUCCUUCUUCUCUGUUUCGUUCUUGGCCGUUGUUCGUG
rnacentral:lncRNA from 1 species